GUCACGGGCAGGGUCUGUGUCUGGGUCUGGGUCCGGGUCAGGGUCAAGGGUCAGUGUCAGGGGUCAGGGUUAGGCGUUAGGGUCAGCCUGCGUGUCCGAGUCCGGGUUCAUGUUUGGUUUAGGGUUGGUGUUGGUGUUGGGGUUGGAGUUGGAAUUAGGGUUGGGUUAGGGUUAAGUUUGGGUUUGUGGUUGGGGUUGUGGUUAGGGUUAAGGUUAGGGUUAGCAAAUUUCUCAACUUGUCUACCUUUGUUAUUAACUGAGUGGGAAUUAGGAGAGGAGCCUGGUCCUCUCCACACACCCCAGGAGGUAUACCGCCCAAUGGCCUGUGGAGAACAGCGGUUCCUGUAGGGCCGACAGGUAUGGACCAAGUAGCUGUGAAAUUUUUUCUGAAGAAAACGCACAAGGAGGACGCGGGUGAGCUCAGUGGAGGAGGGGCACUACCCCAGGGGAUGUCCACAUACAUGGACUUGUGAACCCCGAAUAUCUGAGAUGAUCUCAGUCAAUUUAGAAAGUUUAUUUUGCCAAGGUUGUGGACGGACGCCUGUGACACAGCCUCCGGAGGUUUUGACGACAUGUGCCCAAGGUGGUGGGGACACAACUUGGUUUUAUACAUUUUAGGGAGACAGGAGACAUCAAUAUAUGUAAGACGAACAUUGGUUCCGUCGGGAAAGGAGGGACAACUUGACGCAGGGAGGAGGAUUCCAGGUCACAGGCUAAACAGCUUUAGGAACUGAAAGGCUCUUGAGGCUGUAAGGAAGAGUCGAGUUGCUCCAGGUUGAGGACGUGCACCCGUGACAGCCUCAGGAGAUCCUGACGACAAGUGCCCAAGGUGGUCAGGGCACAGCUUGGUUUUAGGGAGACGUGAGACAUCAGUCAAUACAUGUCAGAAGCACCUUGCUUCCAUCCAGAAAGGUGGGGACAACUGGAAGCAGGGAAGGGGCUUCCAAGGUCACAGGUAGGUGAUAGACAAAUGUUGCAUUGUUUUGAGUUUCUGGUUCUGAAUACUGACUGCUAAAACUCCACACCAAAGCACUGCCCAGAAUGGUGGCCGUGAAGCGUUCUCAGUCUGGGACACGUUAUUCCUCUUCUGUAAAAACUGCACCACUUUCAGACAGACUCUCAGGCAAAGACACAGAAAAUUAUCUCAUUAUUAGAUUAGUGAUCUUUUAGAGGUUUCCUAUCGCUGAGGUCAUCUGACCCAGUAGUUUUCAAAAUGAGUUGAUGGCUUCAUAUCCUAAAAUGUUGCAUUUAAAUUCUAGUUAAAAAUAGUUUACUUUAUUUUUCCAUUCUAAGACAGAUUUUUUUUAUGCUUUACUUUUUCUGGAAUUAGCAUGCAUCUUACAAUGGAUACACUGCAUUAAAUAUGAUGAGAUCUCUUCUGUUCUUCUAAAAAAUUAUCAAUACAUUUGUGAUGAAUAUUGAUUUAAUAGCAUCUCAGAAUUUAAAACAUCCAGGUUACAAUCAUUAACUCUUCUACAAUAUUUAGAUACAAGAAGGUCAUAUUUCUUUCUUUUUAUAAGUCAAAUUACAUCUAGCAGAAUCUCACAUGUGUGAAGAUAUGGAAGAUUCCAAUUCACGGAGGUUCCUCGUCAUAUUCUGUGCCAGACACUGGAGGCGGGAUGGUGGCACUUCAUGCGCCUCACCUUCCUGUCUCACUACUUGUCCUGUGACUGCCGACUGCUGGCCCUUUACUCUGAAGGGGGCGAGAGGACCACUGCCCCGGCACUGGGGAGGGGAUGCUCCUCACAGCACAAGAAGUGCC